rnacentral:tRNA from 1 species
GAAGGUAUGGCUCAGGUGGUAGAGCACUGGCCUAGCAAAUGUGAGGUCCUGAGUUCAAACCUCAGCACCACCA